GAUGAACGCUGGCGGCGUGCUUAACACAUGCAAGUCGAACGGGGGACAAUUUAAAGAAGCUUCGGCAGAUUUAGCUUGUUCCUAGUGGCGGACGGGUGAGUAACGCGUGGGUAACCUGCCUCACACUGGGGGAUAACGGUCAGAAAUGACUGCUAAUWCCGCAUAAGCGCACAGAGCUGCAUGGCUCAGUGUGAAAAACUCCGGUGGUGUGAGAUGGACCCGCGUUGGAUUAGCCAGUUGGCAGGGUAACGGCCUACCAAAGCGACGAUCCAUAGCCGGCCUGAGAGGGUGGACGGCCACAUUKGGWCUGAGACACGGCCCAGACUCCUACGGGAGGCAGCAGUGGGGAAUAUUGCACAAUGGGGGAAACCCUGAUGCAGCGACGCCGCGUGAAGGAAGAAGUAUCUCGGUAUG
rnacentral:rRNA from 1 species